GCAUUUCUUGCAGUCCUGAUGCAUGGAGAAAAGGCCUUCACAAGCCUCUGCUAAUGUGUACCUAGUUUUUUUUAUAUAUAUAUAUAUAUAUUAUUUAUUUAUUUUAAUUGGUGUAGCCCCCAAAAUAUUGUGACAUAUUAAAAAAAAAACAAAAAAAAAAAACAACAGAGUAGCUGUUGACUUUAUAGUUGCGCAGGAACUUUGUUGACUCUAGAGAACCUCGGGCAAAUCGCACAUCCCCGUGGCGGCGACUUUGCAUGCGCAUGUUAUCAACUUUUGAUGCCAGUUUCUGCGCCUACCAUGGUGACCACGGGUAACUGGGAAUCAGGGUUCAAUUCCGUCUAGGGACCCUGAGAAACGGCUACCACAUGCAAGGAAGGAAGCAGGCGUGCAAAUGACCCACUCCCGACGCGGGAUGGUAGUGACGACAAAUAACAGUACAGGACUCUUUAGAGGACCUGUAAUUGUAAUGAGUCCACUUGAAAUCCUUUAACUCUGAUCAAUUGGAGGGAAGUCUGGUGCAGAGCCACUGACCUGUGUGUGCUGCAGCUGAAACUCCAGCCUGCUGC